GCGUUGGCUCCAGCAGCACAUACACUAAAAUUGGAACAAUACAGAGAAGAUUAGCAUGGGCCCUGUGCAAGGAUGACAUGCAAAUUCGUGAAGCUUUCCACAUUUUU
ensembl:snRNA RNU6-787P RNA, U6 small nuclear 787, pseudogene